GGGGGAUUAGCUCAGUUGGCUAGAGCGCUUCGUUUGCACCGAAGAGGUCAUCGGUUCGAGUCCGAUAUUCUCCA
rnacentral:tRNA from 1 species